rnacentral:rRNA from 1 species
GACGAACGCUGGCGGCGUGCUUAACACAUGCAAGUCGAACGGAAAGGCCCUGCUUUUGUGGGGUGCUCGAGUGGCGAACGGGUGAGUAACACGUGAGUAACCUGCCCUUGACUUUGGGAUAACUUCAGGAAACUGGGGCUAAUACCGGAUAGGAGCUCCUGCUGCAUGGUGGGGGUUGGAAAGUUUCGGCGGUUGGGGAUGGACUCGCGGCUUAUCAGCUUGUUGGUGGGGUAGUGGCUUACCAAGGCUUUGACGGGUAGCCGGCCUGAGAGGGUGACCGGACACAUUGGGACUGAGAUACGGCCCAGACUCGUACGGGAGGCAGCAGUGGAGAAUAUUGCACAAUGGGCGGAAGCCUGAUGCAGCAACGCGGCGUGCGGGAUGACGGCCUUCGGGUUGUAAACCGCUUUCGCAUGUGACGAAGCGUGAGUGACGGUAAUGGGUAAAGAAGCACCGGCUAACUACGUG